AGAGUUUGAUCAUGGCUCAGAUUGAACGCUGGCGGCAUGCCUUACACAUGCAAGUCGAACGGCAGCGCGGGAGCAAUCCUGGCGGCGAGUGGCGAACGGGUGAGUAAUACAUCGGAACGUGCCCAAUCGUGGGGGAUAACGCAGCGAAAGCUGUGCUAAUACCGCAUACGAUCUACGGAUGAAAGCAGGGGAUCGCAAGACCUUGCGCGAAUGGAGCGGCCGAUGGCAGAUUAGGUAGUUGGUGAGGUAAAGGCUCACCAAGCCUUCGAUCUGUAGCUGGUCUGAGAGGACGACCAGCCACACUGGGACUGAGACACGGCCCAGACUCCUACGGGAGGCAGCAGUGGGGAAUUUUGGACAAUGGGCGCAAGCCUGAUCCAGCCAUGCCGCGUGCAGGAUGAAGGCCUUCGGGUUGUAAACUGCUUUUGUACGGAACGAAACGGCUCUUUCUAAUAAAGAGGGCUAAUGACGGUACCGUAAGAAUAAGCACCGGCUAACUACGUGCCAGCAGCCGCGGUAAUACGUAGGGUGCAAGCGUUAAUCGGAAUUACUGGGCGUAAAGCGUGCGCAGGCGGUGAUGUAAGACAGUUGUGAAAUCCCCGGGCUCAACCUGGGAACUGCAUCUGUGACUGCAUCGCUGGAGUGCGGCAGAGGGGGAUGGAAUUCCGCGUAGCAGUGAAAUGCGUAGAUAUGCGGAGGAACACCGAUGGCGAAGGCAAUCCCCUGGGCCUGCACUGACGCUCAUGCACGAAAGCGUGGGGAGCAAACAGGAUUAGAUACCCUAGUAGUCC
rnacentral:rRNA from 1 species